rnacentral:rRNA from 1 species
UACGGAGGGUGCGAGCGUUGUCCGGAAUCAUUGGGCGUAAAGCGCGUGUAGGCGGCCAGAAAAGUCCGCUGUGAAAACUCGAGGCUCAACUUCGAGCUGUCGGUGGAAACUUUCUGGCUAGAGUCCGGAAGAGGAGAAUGGAAUUCCUGGUGUAGCGGUGAAAUGCGCAGAUAUCAGGAAGAACACCCGUGGCGAAGGCGGCUCUCUGGGACGGUACUGACGCUGAGACGCGAAAGCGUGGGGAGCGAACAGG